rnacentral:rRNA from 1 species
UACAGAGGGUGCGAGCGUUGUCCGGAAUCACUGGGCGUAAAGGGCGCGUAGGCGGCGAGGAUAGUCAACGGUGAAAAGCUUGGGGCUCAACCCCGAGUCGGCCGUCGAUACUUUCCUUGCUUGAGCACUGUAGAGGCAGAUGGAAUUCCGGGUGUAGCGGUGGAAUGGCGUAGAGAUCGGAAGAACACCGGUGGCGAAGGCGGUCUGCUGGGACAGU